rnacentral:rRNA from 1 species
UACGAAGGGGGCUAGCGUUGCUCGGAAUCACUGGGCGUAAAGCGCACGUAGGCGGACUCUUAAGUCAGGGGUGAAAUCCUGGAGCUCAACUCCAGAACUGCCUUUGAUACUGAGGAUCUUGAGUAUGGGAGAGGUGAGUGGAACUGCGAGUGUAGAGGUGAAAUUCGUAGAUAUUCGCAAGAACACCAGUGGCGAAGGCGGCUCACUGGCCCAUUACUGACGCUGAGGCACGAAAGCGUGGGGAGCAAACAGG